AGCGUAGGCGGAUUUUUAAGUGGGAUGUGAAAUACCCGGGCUUAACCUGGGCGCUGCAUUCCAAACUGGAAGUCUAGAGUGCAGGAGAGGAAAGUGGAAUUCCUAGUGUAGCGGUGAAAUGCGUAGAGAUUAGGAAGAACACCAGUGGCGAAGGCGACUUUCUGGACUGUAACUGACGCUGAGGCUCGAAAGCGUGGGGAGCGAACA
rnacentral:rRNA from 1 species